CAGGGCUUGACAUGGGGAGGACGCAGCCAGAGAUGGUUGUUCCCGCAAGGGCCUCCCGCACAGGUGCUGCAUGGCUGUCGUCAGCUCGUGUCGUGAGAUGUUGGGUUAAGUCCCGCAACGAGCGCAACCCUCGCCUUCAGUUGCCAGCACGUUUGGGUGGGCACUCUGAAGGAACUGCCGGUGACAAGCCGGAGGAAGGUGGGGAUGACGUCAAGUCCUCAUGGCCCUUAUGUCCUGGGCUACACACGUGCUACAAUGGCGGUGACAGCGGGAUGCCAGGUCGCAAGGCCGAGCCGAUCCCAAAAAGCCGUCUCAGUUCAGAUUGCACUCUGCAACUCGGGUGCAUGAAGGUGGAAUCGCUAGUAAUCGCGGAUCAGCAUGCCGCGGUGAAUACGUUCCC
rnacentral:rRNA from 1 species